AAUAUGCAAGUUGGAGGAGGCUCUAUUCUGCUGUGGAACACAGAGAAUGAAUAUUGCGGUCUAAGCAAAGAUUUGCUCUGGAGAGAAUUGAAGCAGUGCAAUACUUCUAGAAGAAGGACUGGGCAGUAACCCCCACCAAAAACAAUCUAAGUUCUAAUCUGAAUUUCAAAAAGAUAAACUUGAAGGAUUGAGUGGAGAAUGGAAUGAAGUGGGGAAAAACUUGAGACAACCAACCAGGAAGCUAUUGCAAUGGUUCAGAAGCAAGGUGAUGCAGGCCUGCACGAGGGAGCAAACCAUGUAGAAAGAAAGGAUAGUAUGCAAAAGAUUUUAU
rnacentral:lncRNA from 1 species